GCGGAAUUGGUAGACGCGCUAGCUUCAGGUGUUAGUGUUCUUACGGACGUGGGGGUUCAAGUCCCCCCCCUCGCACCA
rnacentral:tRNA from 3 species